rnacentral:rRNA from 1 species
UACGUAGGGUGCAAGCGUUAAUCGGAAUUACUGGGCGUAAAGCGUGCGCAGGCGGCGCGUUAAGACAGGUGUGAAAGCCCCCGAGCUUAACUUGGGAAUGGCGCUUGUGACUGGCGUGCUGGAGUGUGGCAGAGGGAGGUGGAAUUCCACGUGUAGCAGUGAAAUGCGUAGAGAUGUGGAGGAACACCGAUGGCGAAGGCAGCCUCCUGGGCCAGCACUGACGCUCAUGCACGAAAGCGUGGGGAGCAAACAGG